GAUGAACGCUGGCGGCGUGCUUAGCACAUGCAAGUCGAACGGUGAACCUCACUUUUGGGGGGGUUAGUGGCGAACGGGUGAGUAACACGUGAGUAACCGACCCUUGACGCUGGUAUAGGCCUGGGAAACCGGGUCUAAUACUGGAUAGGACCUUCUGGCGCAUGCCAUGUGGGUGGGAAGCUUUUGUGGUUUUGGGUGGACUCGCGGCCUAUCAGCUUGUUGGUGGGGGAAUGGCCUACCAAGGGGACGGCGGGUAGCCGGGCUGGGGGGGGGACCGGCCACAGUGGGAGUGCGCAAUGGGCCAGAGUCCCACGGGAGGCAGCAGCGGGGAAUAGUGGACAAUGGGCGUGAGCCAGAGGCAGCGGCGCGGUGUGGGGGAUGAAGGUGUUAGGGUUGUAACUCUGUUUCAGUAGCGACGAAGGCGGAUUUUGGGUUGGUGACGGUACCUGCAGAAGAAGCGCCGGCUAACUACGUG
rnacentral:rRNA from 1 species